UAGGGAAUAUUGCGCAAUGGGGGAAACCCUGACGCAGCAACGCCGCGUGAGUGAGGAAGGUCUUCGGAUUGUAAAACUCUUUUAUUUGGGAAAAAUGGUCGCAGAGCUAAUACCCUGUGAUUUGAUGGUACCAAAGGAAUAAGCACCGGCUAACUUCGUGCCAGCAGCCGCGGUAAUACGAAGGGUGCAAGCGUUGUUCGGAAUCAUUGGGCGUAAAGCGCGCGCAGGCGGGUCGGUAAGUCAGAUGUGAAAUCUCGAAGCUCAACUUCGAAACUGCGUCUGAAACUGCUGGUCUAGAAUGUCGGAGGGGGCAGGGGAAUUUCACGUGUAGGGGUAAAAUCCGUAGAGAUGUGAAGGAACACCGGGGGCGAAGGCGCCUGCCUGGACGAUUAUUGACGCU
rnacentral:rRNA from 1 species